rnacentral:rRNA from 1 species
AUACGGAGGAUCCGAGCGUUAUCCGGAUUUAUUGGGUUUAAAGGGUGCGCAGGCGGCCAUUUAAGUCAGCGGUUAAAUCGUGGGGCUCAACCCCAUUCUGCCGUUGAUACUGGGUGGCUUGAUUGCGGUCGAGGUUGGCGUAAUUCGUUGUGUAGCGGGGAAAUGCAUAGAUAUGACGAAGAACACCGAUUGCGUAGGCAGCUGACCAGACCGCAAAUGACGCUCAUGCACGAAAGUGCGGGGAUCGAACAGGAUUAGAUACCCUGGUAGUCCGCACAGUAAACGAUGAAUACUUGUUUUCGGCGAUAUAAUGUCGGAGGCAAAGCGAAAGCGAUAAGUAUUCCACCUGGGGAGUACGCCGGCAACGGUGAAACUCAAAUGAAUUGACGGGG